rfam:Gossypium hirsutum cultivar TM-1 chromosome 7, whole genome shotgun sequence
UCUUAAAAGUUUUAUCUAAUUGUACCGUUAAAAACUGACAUAAUCGACAAAAUAACCAGGUGAUGAUACAUGGCGUACCUUCAUACUGAUGUAUAGGGACGGGUUUUUAACAGUAGAAAUGGAUGGAAGUUUUUGCAA